UACGAAGGGGGCUAGCGUUGCUCGGAAUCACUGGGCGUAAAGCGCACGUAGGCGGAUUCUUAAGUCAGGGGUGAAAUCCUGGAGCUCAACUCCAGAACUGCCUUUGAUACUGGGAGUCUCGAGUCCGGGAGAGGUGAGUGGAACUGCGAGUGUAGAGGUGAAAUUCGUAGAUAUUCGCAAGAACACCAGUGGCGAAGGUGGCUCACUGGCCCGGUACUGACGCUGAGGUGCGAAAGCGUGGGGAGCAAACAGG
rnacentral:rRNA from 1 species